rnacentral:lncRNA from 12 species
CCUGGAGGCUUAAAAACAGCAUUCCAAUCAUGCAAGUUAAAAUAACUGGCAAGCUUUUUGCCUCCACAAUAAGUCUCAUUUUUUAACAUAAGUUACCAUCUCAAAACCAUCUCAGUUAUGAAACAAAGGCACAGAUGUGGGAAAAAAACUCUCUUUCACAUACUUUUUCUUCAGAGAUACACACAUUCAAACUACAGACAUGCAACUGAUCAAAACACAACACAAAUUAAAGGUUUAGUCCUCCAAUUACUCUAUUUUAUCUUAAUUUCCACUACUAUUUCAGCUGUAACAAAAUCUACUUGGAAAUGAGCAGAAUCAGCCCUCAAGCACCCCAAGCAGUAAUAAAAGAUGCAAAACCAAGUUUCUUUAUAUUUAGUGAAAAUUUUAAACAUAGAAUAUACAAUUUGUAUAUAUUUA